ensembl:lncRNA
CCUAGAGAUAGCUAAUUUCUCCAACACAGUUUGUUGUAAUUUAUUUAUUCCCUUUUUCCACUGAGUGAAAUAUUCAUUUUUAUUGCAUUAUGAAUUCACAUAAGUCCAUCAGUCUGUCUUUUAAAAAAAUUAUUCUCCCCUGUACUGCUCUGUUGUCUGUUCCUGCACCAAAACAUUUUGUUUAUUUCGGAUUUUUCUAUAAUAUGUUUUGAUAACUAGUGGAGCAAGUAUCCACCUCAUUUCUAGUCUUUAAACAUUUUAUUUUGGCCAUUUUUAUACAUUUUAUCUUCCUGAAGAAAUUUUGGGACUAACUUGUCGGAUUUUCAUUAAAAGACUUUUGAUAUUUGAUUGGGAUAGCAUUGGGAGAAUAUUGAAUUUAUCAGUUAAAUUGUUGAGAGCGAGCAGUUUUAAAUAUUGAGUUUUCCUAUCCAGAAACUUAUGUGUUUUUCAAUAAAAUUUUAUCUUUUUCUUCAUAUAGGUCUUGCACUUUUCUGGUGAGGUUCCUUGAAUAUAUUUUCCCUGCUCCUUUGACGUAAUGGGGUUUUGUUUCCUCCUGGACGUUUUCAGAUUGGUUAUUGCCAGUGCACAGGAAAACUGUUUUGUAUCUGGUUCCUGCAGGUCAGCAUUUGGUGGACUCUCUCCAUCUGUUAGAAUACCAGGCUCAGACAAGCUUUUCAGGUUUUUCCAAGGGUCAAGUAGAUCACAGGCUAAUGGGGUGAAAAAGGUAUAAAGCUAUUAAAACCAUAAAUCCCCUCACAUCAUCUGAAAUUAACUUGCCUGUGUCAUUUGGAUUGCUGGGGUUUACAAAGGAACAGUAUCAGGCUAGGUAGGGAAGCCUUGGCACUCCCCACGGCACGUGUGGGGAUGGCGGGAUGGCUGGCCUUUAGCAUCAGCUCCAGGACUGCCCCCUGCUGAGUGGGCUCCUGUGAGGUUCACAGGCAUAUGGAGAGCAAGUCUGUGCCCCAAGUGAAGGUCACAGGGACAGUGAGAAGAGCAGGGGCUCUGAUGACUUCUAGUACUUGUGUAACAUUGAGGAAGGGACUAAACUCUUGGCUUCAGAUGCCUUCCUUGCUGGUAUCUGUCAUGUUAGAUGGAAUAUUCCAUGAAGGUACCUGGUAUACAAUAAGUGGUCAGUAAGUGGUGGCCCUUGUCAUUGGUAGGAUGAUGGUGGUGGAGAUGGGCUGUAAGUCUGACAGGCCUGGUUUUGAGCCCCAGCUCUGCCAUUCCUGAUGGCAUGACCAUGGACAAACGAUUUGGAUGCUUUAAGCCUCAGUUUCCUCAAAGUCAAGCUGGUCAUAAUUUAAGGAUUCAAUGAAAACAUGUAUGUGUUAGUACUUUGUGAACUGUAACAUUUCAUGUACUAUAGCUGAUAGCAUUGUCCUUUCUGGAUGUCUUCCUUCUAUGGGCAAGAAGAAAAGUGUUCUUGUUGAGAUACAGAGAUGAAAUAUAUUUUAUUAGUUCACAUUAAAAUCACAUUUGUAAUGAAAAUAUUUAAAGGGAGCUUCAAAUAUCAUUUGUGUCCAGUGAAGAACUUCAGGAUUUUGAAUGACUGGAUUUGUGUGUAUUUUAAAGAUGUUCUCAGCUAGGCGAUUUUCCAUAAAGAUAUGUAAUAAGGAUCCCAGGUAAUCAUCCAGGCCAUUUGCUCAAAACCUAACAUCUAACUUCUCUCAUGAAGCUAAGCAUCACAGGACACUGCCUUGCAAAGACAUAAUGAGACUGAUUACAGCCUUGGUUUCAUGCCUGAAGCCACAUCACCAUGGAUUACUUGGGGAAACAAUGAAGGCAUCUCAGUUGCAUUGGGUCCAAUAUUCUUCCAUUCUUACUAUCAGAGUUGAAGUAGUGUUGUUCAUUUAUUCGUUGACUUUAGGCUGGCAUAUGAGAGAGGCGUUUCAGUUACUGUUAAUAAGGAGGAUUGCUUAUCACAAAUUUUGAGUCCAAGUCAGAAGUUCAUUAAAAUUUGACACAGUGGGGGCUGGCCCAGUGGUGCAGCGGUUAAAUUCAUGCGCUUCCCUUUGGCGGCUUGGGGUUCGCUGGUUUGGAUCCCCAGCGUGGACCUGCACACCACUUAUGAAGCCAUGCUGUGGUGGCGUCCCAUAUAUAAAGUAGGGGAAGAUGAACACAGAUGUUAACUCAGGGCCAGUCUUCCUCAGCUAAAAGAGGGGAUUGGUGGCAGAUGUUGGCUCAGGGCUAAUUUUCCUCAAAAAAAAAAUGGAUGCAGUGAAUUGUGGUGUAAGAACCAACAUUUGAUUGAAGGAAAACUUAUUGCUGAGACACUGUUUUUUUCAAAGUAUUAUAUCCAGAUAGAUUCUGCAACCAAGCAGUGGCUGAUUUGAACAUUCUAGAGGGGAAGCCAGAUGCUAACCAUCCACCCAGAUGUGGCACCCAUUUUCUAUCCUUGAAAAAAGUGAAGAGAGCAUUUUGUAAAGAAGCCAUAAGCAGUAGUAAACUUUUCCAAGUCAGGCUUUAAGACUGCCAGUUAAAUAAUUCAUCACAUUAGUUGCCAAUAUGCAUGACCCUUAAGUUUAUUGCUCAGUGAUUCUCAAAGAAGUGACUGACUUUAAGGGUUGACUGGAAAACUCCACCUCCUCUUCAAAUGCGUGUGGAGAUGAUAUGUACCUACAGAUCAGAGGAGAGUUAUAGGCAGGCAUCUUUGGGAUGCUGACCCUUGUUUACCAAACACCAGCUGACUUAAAUGAAGUUUCACAACCACAAGUGGUGAAAGGCAUUGUGCGAAGGUCAGAGGCACAUCCCCACCCCGCCUGUGGAAGACCUUUGUCCAUGGUGGAGAGGAGGCGGAGGUGAAUAUUUACAGCUUAUUGACAGGUUUGUCUGUUAAACUUGGGUUUUAUCAGUGCUUUUUUCAGGUUUCAUGUUUAGGACAUAAGCAGGAUUGAACCCAAGGGAAAGGGGUGUGACUAGAAGACCUCUUUCAUCUCACAUUGCCCACGCUUGGGCACACCUGCUUCCCAUACAGAGGGAGAGCCAAGAGGGGUAGGGUAAGGCAGGAUAGUGAUUAUUUCUUAGCCAGGACCCAGUUCAGGGCAAAGACACCCAGUGGUUCUGAACCCAGGAUGCACUUUAGAAUCACCUGGAGAGCUUUAAAAAUAGAGAUGCUUGGGCUCCACCUGGACCAAUUAAGUCACAGCCUCUGGUCUGGGCACUGGUGCUUAUUGCUAGCUCUAUGGGUAACUCCAGCUUAAAUUGCACAUCCGGAGUGAGGACCAAGCUCUGGACAUUCAUUGUGUGAAAUGUGAGUUAGUUCUCAUUGAUCUCAACCAAUAUAAAGCAACCUGCUAAUUCUUACUUAUUUAGACAAUGGUAGUGUCAGGGUUUAAAGUUAUAGAUUCAAAGAAGAAAUAGAAAUGUAUGGAAGGUGCCAGGUGUGAGUUCUUAACCCGAGGUCCAUGAGAUCAUAGGGGUUCCAUGAGCCCCUGAAAUUGUGUCCUGAGUUGUAAGCAUAUAUUUGAGGGAUGGGGAGAGUGGGGGAAAGGGCUCAUCCCUUCCAGAAGAUUCCCAAAGGAAGCCACAGACAGCAACUCUUUUAGGAACUGCCAAGGGAUCAACCAGCAUCAUGAAAUGCAUGCCCACACAAAGGCACGCACACAGUUUUUAAGAAAGAAAACCUGCAGGUGGCAGGGUCCUGAGUGUGUCCCCAAACAUUCACUUUCGUCCUCUUGUUCCCACACUCUCUAACUGCUCUGGCCACAGUUCCUGGUGCCCAUGGGACUGCAGCAGCUCCCACCUACAGUUCUGACCUGGAGCAAGUCACCUUUCCUUGCUACACCUUAGCACAGCUGCGUGAGUUCCAUCUCAAAACUGCAAAUGAUGAAGUGGAACAAAUAAUCAAGAUGAGCCAACAAUGAAGGGAAUAAUGACAACACAUGCCAUGAGAGUCAGGGGGCAAGUGCAGAGUCUUCUAAUUCUUACUAUGCUCAGGCUCCAAGUUUCUGUUGCGCUCACUAGAUAUCUUAACUGGCUUCUUUCCACCCCUCCAACUCCACUUGGCUGGGACCCUCUUAGUUCUGACUACAUGGGAACACUCUCAUGAGCCAAAAGUCUCUGGCAGACCACUAAGAGACUCUGUCAUAGCUUCUGAAAUGAGGGACAUGUUUCAUGCCUUCAGUACCCUUCAACUUCAAUCUGUUUUCAAAGCAGAGGCAGCAAAUAGGUUUGGACUCACAUGCUAAGUCCCACCAAUUGAUAAAGGCAUCCUAACAGAACUUCUUAAACUGAAAUAUGCGUAUGAAUCCCAUGGGUAUCUUGCUAAAAUGCUGAUUCUGAUUCUCUCUGAGAACCACUAUGAGUAGCAAGGUCCUAAAGGGCUCUGCUGAUAAUGACUCUGAGCUAGGCUCCUUUGGCUGUGUGUGCCGGGGGCUGCGGAUAGAAGCUGGCAGCAGAGCCCUAAGGUGCUCUCUGUUUGACAUUGUGGAUGACAGCUCCUAUUUCAGGUUAUCAGCCCUGCUCCUGCCUGGUGGUUGCUGCAGACGUGCCAUCAGUGUGGGCUCCAUGCUUUCCCUUUCAUUGUUGAUUUAUUCCUUCCUUUAGCUCAGAGAUGGACAUGCUAUUAUCUCUACAAAGAAAGAACAGCUCCCAUUACAGCGCUGCCUUCAGUCGCUGGAGAGUUGGUUUUGGCAGCACGGUGCAAGCUGGAUCCCCUCUGCUGAUUGGAUGGGUCUGCAGGGUUCCUGCUGCCCUGGCCGGCCGGUGCAGUGUGACCAGAGCCCUGGUGUUGCAUGAGCAUCAGUCUGCGGCCCUUCGGGCUGUCUUGUUUCUUGCCCCUAUACAGGCUCCUGUUCCCCUUCUCUGCUGCUCUGGAGCCUAGCCCUGAAACUUAGAUUUGUUUUCACCUCAUGUCUUCUGAGGUCUGGCUCUGCUUCUGAUAUUGCUGGUCCAACCCGGAUGGAGUGUGAAGAUUAGCUCUGAGCUGACAUCUGCUUGACAUCUGCUGCCAAUCCUCCUCUUUUUGCUGAUGAAGACUGGCCCUGAGCUAACAUCCAUGCCUAUCUUCCUCUACGUUAUAUGUGGGAUGCCUACCACAGCAUGGCUUGCCAAGUGGUGCCAUGUCCGCACCCGGGAUCCAAACUGGUGAACCCUGGGCCACUGAAGUGGAACAUGUGCACAUAACCGCUGUGCCACCGGGCCAG